CAGACCUACAAAAAUGAAGAAGAAUGAAUCAAACAUAAAUCACGAAGAAGAACUUCAUCAAUUGUAUCGCUGCACAAGAAUGUAUAUUUACAGAUAUUUACAUGACUGAUUGCACAGGACCAACAGCAGUCAAAGUGGCGCAUCUGAAGGACAGCACACUCACUGCCAGACCUUAGACAUCCUUGGCCCAUUGGUUGUUUGUUUUUCGUUGUACUGCGUUCAUGCGCCUGCCCGUGAAAUCGGCUAGACACGCUACCCCUCACCACGUGACCGCCGAUUGCACGUCUACGGGACCGGCCCACCUUGCCCGGCAAAAAGGUCACACAAUUUUAAUUUACUACCUAUUCUCUACGUAUACAGAAGAGAUUAGUAUGUACCUACUGCAGUCAGGUUUCAAACAGUACACCCCUGGAUUGAAUAAUAUGCCGAAUGUGGGUUGACUAUUCAAACACUGCUAAACGAGCACAGUAUAAUUUUAAUGAGAUGAAUUUUUCGUGUCCCUGUACGGCUGUCUCUUGGGACGGUUCGCUGUAGCAUUUCAUCCUUCUAAUUUUUUUAGAAUGUGCUGUAACAUGCCACUUUGUUUCUAAGGUAUAUCUCGUGGUAUAUGACGAUGUUGCCAUUUUUUGAAAACGAGUCAAAUAAGCAUAAGCAUCGGAUAGCCAAGCGCAGACGCAUGUACGUAUCUAAAGCAGCAAUAUUUUGUGCGUGAUACUGCACCCCACCUGCAUCUGAAUGGUACCAACAAUAUAUAUCAGAGACAAAGAAUUCGUUUCAAGAACAAGAUAAGAAAUUUCGGAUAAAACAGCAGGAUUGUACAUUCAACUUGUUUAUAGCCCGAUGUCGGAGAAGUUUUCCAAAAUUUAUGAACUUCUACGUGAAUGAAGCACUAAAAAACGCUCAUAAACAAUUUCGGAAAAACGAUCAGAAUUUGCGCAAAUCAAAAAGGUCUUCGAGCGCUUGCUUCUCGUAGACACGUGUAAAAUGGUUCGGUGCAAGAAAAUUUCACUGAUCGCAGCGUAAAAAUGAAAGGAACAUUAAUAGACUGUCUACAACACUAGAUGGCAGACUCCAAGAAAUACUCACAUGUUGCAAC